GGCCAGACUCCUACGGGAGGCAGCAGUGAGGGAUAUUGGUCAAUGGGGGGAACCCUGAACCAGCAACGCCGCGUGAGGGAAGACGGUUUUCGGAUUGUAAACCUCUGUCCUCUGUGAAGAUAAUGACGGUAGCAGAGGAGGAAGCACCGGCUAACUCCGUGCCAGCAGCCGCGGUAAUACGGAGGGUGCGAGCGUUAAUCGGAAUUACUGGGCGUAAAGCGCUCGUAGGCGGUAUGUCAAGUCAAGGGUGAAAUCCCCGCGCUCAACGUGGGAACUGCCUUUGAAACUGGCAAACUGGAGUGUGUGAGAGGAUAGGGGAAUUCCAGGUGUAGGAGUGAAAUCCGUAGAUAUCUGGAGGAACAUCAGUGGCGAAGGCGACUAUCUGGCACAUAACUGACGCUGAGGAGCGAAAGCGUGGGUAGCAAACAGGAUUAGAUACCCGAGUAC
rnacentral:rRNA from 1 species